AACCUUAUUUCGUCCCGACAAGCAUCAGUCUGGGGCCUGUUGCUGCUGGCUGCUGACCGUGCUCUGGAACCUUCAUUGCUCUGAGAGAGAGAGGAAGGCUCAGUCCAGUGACCCAGCUCCCUAGGAAUGGUUCUUCCCUGCAGGAUCAGAGUUUAUGCCUGGAAAGGCAGGAUUCAUAUCCAGAAGACCUAAAUCAGUCCUGAAAGUACAGAGUGCUGGUUGCCUGCAUAUAAGAAAUAGAAGUGGUCUCCUGAGAGCGGUCCACCCACAUGCAGAGGCCUUCUCUUCUACUCACGUUUUUACGACGGCGGAGUUGACUCCUGGUUUGGCUGCCGAUCAUGGGUUGCCUGGAACUUGCCCUGCAGCCUCCAGUGUGGGUAUGUCUUAGUCAUCGUAGCUGGUGACACUGCUCACUGCUUCCUUUUCCAGGACUGUCCUAGUCCCCCCUCUCAACCACAGCCUGGAAAUAAUUCAGCAUCCCUAGCCCAGAAAGCUGGGGUUCGG
rnacentral:lncRNA from 1 species